rnacentral:misc_RNA from 1 species
AUUUCAAUAAAUCCGUCGUGACUUAUGCCCCGCCCACUUUUAGCAACCAAUCAGUGGAGCCGUCGUUUAGUAUAAAAUCUAAGAUUUGCCUCUCAAUAUGAGUUCGGUUAAAGAAGAUUUUCUUUGGCAUUCGAUUUUGAUACGAAGACUGAAUCAACAUCCACUAAAGCAGCACAGAUAAAAAUGGCCUCAAUUCGUUUAUUGUUUCUGUCGUUUGCACUGAUUAUGAUAAUCGUGACAACUUCCGCAAGACCCAUGAACAGUGGGAAUUUUUUGCGACAACGACGUGGCGUAGAACUUUCUGAUAUGAUUAGAGAAGUAAAUGAAUCUAACCGCCAGAAAAGAUCUCAAAGAUCUCGUGGAAACAUGGUAUUGUCUCUAGACUAUCUACUAAAGGCCUUAGAGAAAACACAGCGUGAACAAACAGCCGAAAGUCAACGAAAUUUAAUGGAUGCAAUCGGACGGUAGAAUCUUAUAUAUAGGCCCUUGUAUUUUGUUUGUUGCAGCUCCUAUAUUUAUUUGACAUUCAGUCUGUACUUAAAGAUGAGAGACCGAAAUGUGAUUUCGUUGCCAUCCUAAUAUAGAGGAACACAAAUCAAAUCACUGCAUCCGAGCAGUUAACAAACAUCAUGAUAGACCAGUGCGUCAGUGCGGCAACACCAUUGUCUUUGUUAACCAUCACGUUCGGACAAUUGGCGUAAAUGAGAGGUGAGCGUAAACCCCUCUAAACGAUCGAUUUGCUCAGAAGUGGGAGUAUUUCAUAAUUUUGUGAAAUAAUUUUUGAAAUGUAACGGAACGACAAGUUAUGCUAACGGAUAAUUUGUGUACACCACGUGAACAAAUCGGAUAGCAUAGAAAACCCAAGAAGGAGGAUGUCUAAUCAUCCUUUUUCUCAGUAUUCAUUAUUUUUUAACAUUUUGUUGUAAAACAUUGUUUAAAAUGCAUAAGCAUUCCUAUAUGUAUGAUAAUAUGCCUACAUUAAAAUGAAAAUCAUUGGGUAAUUUAUUUUCUUAAUGAUGAAGUGUAGUAUUCCAGUUAAUAGCUGUAGACUUUUAAAUAUCUGUGCAAUAUUUGAUAUUUAUUUUUGACAUAUGUAUAGUAAAUUAUUUAUUAGAGGCUUAUUGAAGGACAAUUGGACAUUCCUUAUGCGAUGCAGGGUAUAUAAUAUAAUAAUAAUGUACUAUAUAUUAUAGUUUAUUAGGGCAGGCUACACCUAUAGUUCUGUAAUUUCGCAACAGAAAUAUUUAGGGAGUGUUUUAAACGUAAAUGAAAGUGAAAAAGUGUGUCACAAUUUGACGCAAUACCAUUACUUUGACAGAGUACGUUCUAGCGCACGGUCAACGCUGUGUUUCGACCAUGUUGUGUACCGCAUUAGAAUCAUGUUUUGACUACUAAAUUUGAACAGGUGUCAUGAUACCAGAUAAUAAAGCGUUCAAUCCAUAAUCAAGGAUGCAACAACAUGUAUCUGUGCAGUUAUAAUUGCUUUAAUAUUAGGACAGAUGUAUUUCGUUUUAUAUAAAUAUUGCCUUUUGUUUCGUGGGAAGCAGGGUAGGGUCGUCACAAUACAACCAACUGUUUAUUCAUGCUUUAAAAAAAAAUUAUAAAAAAUACGGUACACCAUGUAUUACUCAUAUAAUAUAUUACUUUACUAGUUUAAAUAAUCCAGCAACGCUUUCGUACAACCAAGAUGUAGAUACGAAUUUGAUUACGACAUUAUCAUUAUAUUAUCAUAAUAAAAAUUGAGAAAAUAUA